rnacentral:rRNA from 1 species
GUCCACGCCGUAAACUAUGGGUGCUAGCCGUUGGGAAGCUUGCUUUUCAGUGGCGCAGCUAACGCAUUAAGCACCCCGCCUGGGGAGUACGGUCGCAAGAUUAAACUCAAAGGAAUUGACGGGGCCCGCACAAGCGGUGGAGCAUGUGGUUUAAUUCGAAGCAACGCGCAGAACCUUACCUACCCUUGACAUGUCUAGUAUGGGUUCCAGAGAUGGGAUUCUUCAGUUCGGCUGGCUAGAACACAGGUGCUGCAUGGCUGUCGU